ensembl:lncRNA
GUCCACAGGAUUUUCCAAGCAAGAAUACUGGAGUGGGUUUCUGUUUCCAUCUCCAGGGGAUCUUUCCGUCCCAGCUACAAAGGAUUUUAUGGUUAAAAACCUGUUCAUGGAGAGAAAAUACCAGGAAGGACAUGUGUGAGCCCCUCAGUGUAGACCCUGGUCGGCUCUGCCGGUGUUGGAAACACUGCCACCUGCUGGACCCUUUGAGAAUGUCAGCAGGCCCUGCCCUUCAAACCCAGUCGCAAACUUGACUGGUGCCAGCGUCAGCAACUCAGCCACCAGAGUCGGGGUGCACGGGACCCAAGACCUGUGGCUGCCAGUUGCUCGAGGGAGAGAUUAGUCGAGCCAGAAUAUUGGCCAGAAUAUAGACAUAAUUAGACAUAGUUUUUAACAUUUAAGAGAACUGUAUUAAAUUCCAGGACUUGCCUCUUGAAAUGAUCUCAUUCUAUGAUUAUGUUACCUCCAUUGGGCUUCCCUGGUGGCUUAGGCCAUGAAGAAUCUGACUCGGGUCUGAUCCCUAAAGAAGGAAAUGACUACCCACUCCAGUAUUCUUGCCUGGAGAAUUCCAUGGACAGAGGAGCCUGACAGGCUACAGUCCAUGGGAUCACAAAGAGUCGGACAAGACUGAGCGAUUAACUUUCACUUUCACUUUGUCAUUCGCUGAAGGAUUUGGGAACAGAAAGGUCAAGACCUCCUCUGUCCUCUGUAGAUCUUCAGGCCCUGAUUUGAAAUGAUGUGUGUGCUCAGCCCUAGACUUUCAAGGCAGCUUCAAGUGAGAUGUAUGUAAUUCCUUUGCUCUGACAACAUGCUCACUCUGUUCUCUCUGCUUCAUAAUUAACUGCUUUUAAAGAGAAUUUAUGGGGCCUGAUGAAUAGCUGAAUGUUUCUUUCUUUGAACUCCCAGAUGUUCUGACCAGAUUCCAGCCUCCAGUCCCUGUUCCCAGCCCUUCACCAGAGCCGUCGGGUAAAUUUUCUAAUCCUCUCCGGGACAUUCCUAUUUCCUGCCGAGAAGUAAGAAAACAACAGUGCUUCCCUAAGGGCGGUAUGCCUCAGCCCUGCCUCGCAAUCUCCAUUUUAGGAAAAAUGUUUCCCCGAGCACGAAUCCUCUGAAAGGAAAAGGCCUGUGAGUCUCCUGGGAAAGAAUAUGAGACCCCACCGUGAGGAUUUGCCGUAGAAUUUCGCUGCAUUCCUCUGCGGGACUGGGCUGUCUAGGAAGUUCAUUUUGAUUUAAAAAUAUAUCAGAAUGGGAAUGUGUUUGUGUGAGUAGGCGUGUGAAACAGAUUUGAAAAAAAGACAGGCAAAAAUAAAGUGGGGAGAUAAGGAGAGAGGUCAAAGGCAAAUAGUUCUUUCCUUCUAAAAGGAUCUCUUCAGAGUGCUUGGAUUUUUUAUUAUGGAAAUACUCAAAACAUUCAAAACUAGAGAAAAUAGUCUAAUGAACCACUGGGUGCCCCUCAUCCCGCUUCAACAAUUAUCAACAUUGCCAACCUUUAUCACUUAUCUGCUCCUCUUCUUUUUUUGUACUAGAGCUGGGCCUGGCCAAAUCCAUGGCCAAAACCAACUUGCCUCUUGUUUUUCAGGGGAAAGAAAAAAAGGUUUACUGGAACACAGCCAUUCCCAAUGGUUUCUAUUGUCUAUACCUGUGUUCACAUCCCAGCAGCAGAGGUGAAUAGUUGUGACAGAAAUCGUGUGACCCACGUGCCUGAAAUAUUUCUUGUCUGGUCUUUCACAGAAAAUAUUUACACACGCACUCAGCCCUGUGCACAUGCAUGCCUGCUCAGUCAUGUCCUACCGUUUGCAGCCCCAUGCACUGAAGCCCACCAGGCUUCUCUGUCCAUGGGAUUCUCCAGGCAAGAACACCGGAGUGGGUGGGCAUGCCCUUCUCCAGGGGAUCUUUCCCACCCAGGGAUCAAACCCAGGUCCGUAGCACUGCAGGCAGAUUCUUUACUGUCUGAGCCGUCUCUUUUACUCACACUUAUUUGUUGAAGAAACCAGACUCUUUGUCCUACAAAAUCGCCACAUUUCGGAUAUAGUUGGGUAUAUGCUCAUUGCACCAUUUUACAUGACCACAAUGCAUUAUUUUUAAUUAGAGUAGGCCUUAAAAAAAAAAUGGAGUACAGUUGAAUUACAACGUUGUGUUAG